rnacentral:lncRNA from 1 species
AAACAUAUAUCCUGUACAACAGUCAGAAGUUCUUCUUAGAGGGCUGAGCACAAUAUCAAAAAAGUCCCUAUAAUAUUACAUGCAAAUCAAUUAAGGACAAUAAGGAAAAAAAUAAAAAAAAUACAAAAUAAAAUGCAGAAAUACUUCUUCACAAUAUUUUGUCUUAAAUAUAUGUAAUAUUAUAAAAAAUGAUAAAUAUACUCUAUAAUUUUCGUAACAUGAAAUGAUAAGGGACUAAAAUUAAAGUAUGAAGAAUAGUUGGAAUUUCAAGAGGAAAAAAGAAUAAUGGAGGGCCCACUUAUUUUCACGAUAUUUAAAAUGAAAAAAAUUAUUAAUCUUAUAAAAUAUUUAGAUUUUAUUUGAUUGAAAGUAAUUUAAUUAGAAAAAUUUAAAUUUAAAGGAAGUGUUAAAUUUAUAUAUGUUUAUUUAGAUUUUUAUUUAAAGUUGAAGGCAUUUUUUUAAUAGAGAAAAAAUAAAUUAAUUUCCUUAAUGUUAAAUUAUUUUUUAAAAAAUAAGUUAUUUGAAUUAAAUUAUAUAUUUAAUAUUUUAUUUUAAUCACUUUCAAAUUGGAAAAUAUCUUUAGUUUCUUUCCACAGCGUCCCACAGUAGGCUGGAUUCCCAGAUUAUGCUAGUAACCACUCAUCCAAGCUUUGCUAUCACAAGUACAAUUUGUCUUUUUUGGCAAGUCACCUCUUUCAACUCAUAAAAUUUUUACUAAAAGGGUAAUUAAGAUUCGAUCAAAUAAAAUAAUUUAUUUGACCCUUUAAAUUAAUAUAUAAUAAUUAUUUAAAUUCAUAAAUUUUUUAAAAAUAGUCACUUAAUUUUAUAAAUAUUAAUACCAUCAAUUCUCAAUUAAUAAAUUAAAAAAAAAUUAAACAUUUAAAUCUUUAAAAAAUAGUUCAAUAUCCACUGAAAUUCUUAUUGAAUAAAUAAAUUUAAUAAAAAUUAAUUUUAUAAGAAAAUAAUUAAUAUUUUCUUAAUAAAACUUAACUAUAAAACUAUGAAAAUAUAAUAAUUACUAAAAAUAAUUCAAAAUUAAUAAAAAUUAUAAGAUAUUUUCUUAAUUAAUUUACAACAUUAUUUAAAUUUCAUAUCUAUAUAAAAUAAUUAUAUUUAAAAUUUUAAUAUAUUUUAUUAUUUUUUAAUUUUUAUUACAUAUAUCAUAUCAUAAUAAUUAUAUUUUUUUAAAGACAUGUUAAAUGCUAUAAGUUUGGUUUUUAAUUAAUAAUAAAAUAAAAAAAUAUAAAUCGUUUAUAAUUUUCAUUGAUAUAAAGCAUUUUUUAAUUUACUGUUUGUUAUAAAUCUUAAUUUUAAUUUGUCUAAAACUUUUGAAUAACACUUUAUUUAUUUUAUGAAUUUUAUAAAAUUAUUUUAUUUAUUUAUAAAAAUAUAAAUUAAUAUAAAUUAUUUAUAAAAUAAAUUAUUAAAAUAUAAUAUUAAUAUUAUUUAUUUAAGAGUUUAAAUGACUAAUGAUAUUUAUUAAGGAUUUUAUUAUCACUCUAGAUACAAGAAUCUCAGAUGGGAAAUUAAAACUAGAGUCUCCAGAAUUUUCAAAGAAGAACAAAAAUCAAUAAAUCAAAGCAAAAGCUAAACUUUAUCCAUGCAAGCGGAAUCGGAGAAAAUAGUAAUUGUAGCUGUGAAAAGCUUUAUUAGCAUCUCAAUGAUAGCGAUUAAAUCAUGUCUUAUAUAUUUUCGAAACGGCAAAAUAACAGCAUCUCAUUACCCAUUUCACAUGAUUUCGUAGAAUAGAUGGAGCACUAUUAUAUAAUUUUUAUUCACUUUCUCCAUUAUAUAAUUUUAAUUUUUAUUCACUUCACUUUUAUAUAUAUAAUAAAAAAUCUAAUUUUUUAAUUAUAUUAAAUUUUAUUAAAUAUUAAAAAAAUAUUUUAAAAAUUUCUUAAAAAUAAAAUAAAAUUAUUUUGAGACAAUAAUAAAAAAUAAAUAAAUAAAAAUUAUAGAAAGGCGAAAUAAUAAAUAAUUAAUCAACAUGUAUCCUAUUAAUACAAUAUAAAUAGAAGAUGAGGAAAAAAACUAACCCAUCUCUCCCAGCUGGCUCUUCUUUUUUCUCUCUUCUCUUUAUCAUUCUUCCAUUGCCAUGCCUUCCCAAACCCAACAGCUUCACUUUGUGUUGUUUCCUCUUAUGGCCCAAGGCCAUAUGAUUCCCAUGAUAGACAUCGCAAGACUAUUAGCACAGCAUGGCGUGAUGAUCAGUAUAGUCACCACACCUCUCAAUGCUGCUAGAUUUAAAACAGUUCUUGCUCGUGCUGUAAAAUCUGGACUCAAAAUCCAGGUUUUUGAGCUCCAGUUUCCGUUCGAAAUUGCAGGCUUACCGGAAGGGUGUGAGAAUUUUGACAUGCUGCCUUCACUGGAAAUGGGCAAACAUAUGUUCACAGCUAUUAUCGAGCUUGAAAAGCAAGCAGAUAAAUUGCAUGAAGAGCUGAUCCCUCAGCCAAGCUGUAUAAUCUCCGAUAUGUGUGUUACAUGGACUACUAGAAUUGCUAGCAAAUGGAAAGUUCCAAGGAUCUCUUUCAUUGGUUAUAGCUGCUUUUGUAUGUUGUGCGGGCACAACAUGCGUGUUUCCAAGGUUCUAGAGAACAUAACCUCAGAAUCAGAAUAUUUCACUGUUCCAGGCUUGCCUGAUAAUAUCAAAUUUACUAAAGCACAGAUACCCUUCCUUGUGAAUUUGGAUGAACUCGCCAAUCGAAUUCUUGCAGCUGAAAAGGACAGCUAUGGUUUAAUUAUAAACACUUUUGAAGAGUUGGAGGCACCAUUCCUCCAACAAUACAAGAAAGCAGGGCAAUAUAAUAGAAUUUGGUGUGUUGGUCCCGUUUCGCAGUGCAACAAAGACACCUUGGACAAAGCUGAACGAGGUAAUGAGACAUGUAUCAAAGGACAUGAAUGUUUAAGGUGGCUCGACUCCUGGCAACCAGGAUCUGUAGUUUAUGCCUGUCUUGGAAGUCUUCCCAAUAUACCAACUUCACAAUUUACAGAGCUGGGCUUGGGCUUAGAGGCAUCCAACAGACCAUUUAUUUGGGUUGUAAGGGGAGGAGAAAGAUCAAAAGAAAUAGAGAAGUGGAUUUCAGAGACGGGAUUUGAAGAGAGAACCAAAGGAAGAGGUCUUGUGAUGUGCGGUUGGGCACCACAGGUGAUGAUACUGUCACACCCUGCAAUCGGAGGUUUCUUAACACAUUGUGGUUGGAAUUCAACACUAGAAGCAAUAAGUAGUGGCGUGCCUGUAAUCACAUGGCCACUCUUUGCAGACCAAUUUUGUAAUGAGAAGUUAGCAGUGCAGGUACUGAAGAUAGGCGUCAGAGUUGGAGUGGAGGUUCCUGAGAGGGGAGUGGAGGAAGGGCAGAAUGGUGUAUUGGUGAAAAAGGAAGAUGUUGAGAAGGCGUUGAAUGAUUUGAUGAAAGAAGGAGAGGAAAGGGAAGAGAGAAGAAGAAGAGUUAAAGAGCUUGCAGAGAUGGCAAAGAAAGCAACUGAGGAAGGAGGUUCUUCUUGUCUCAACAUCAAACUUCUAAUCCAAGAUAUCAUGCAGCACGUAAAUGAAGAAGCAUCGCCUCCUCCAAUUAAAUAUCCAGAAAAUUCCUAAAGUCCCUAGAAAAAUGUGGUGCUCUCUUCAAGAAGCUUCAACAAGUUUCUUCAUCCGUGCAAUUCUCAUCACCGGCGUAUGCAGAAACUACUGUACCAACUGCUAGUGAGAAUGAAGGGAACACUCGAGUGUGUGAGUGGAUUGUGUUUGAGUGGUGACAAUGUGUGCACGUGAAAACAUUUGUAUACAAUCGGUUACCGUAACAGCCCGAAACCGAACUGCUACCGGCACUAGGAUUCAGAUCGAUUUAAGGUCGCCGGAACCGUAGUAAGCCUGCUAUCCUGUUUGUGUACCUGUGAAAUCUCAUACAUGAUCAUUCUUGUUCUGUCAAACUAUUAAAACUGUUCUGAUACAUGAUCAUUCUUAUUCUGUCAAAUUAUUAAAACUGUUAUGUCCUCCAAGACUUAACUUGUGCAUGCACUGUUUGAAAAAUCUAAACACUUUCGUUUUUUUCCAAUUUAUUCCAAUUUAAUGCAAAACUUUAAAUGGUAAUAAAAUUAUUCAAAAUUUUAAAUUUUGUUACAAUCAUAUUCAAACUUAAAAUUUAAAUUGAGAUAGUGUAUUUUGUUAUAUUAAUUCAUUUUUAUAUAAAGUUGUACUCUCAAUAGUUUUAAAAUUAUAUUAUAUAAUAAAUAUAAUUAAUAAAAUUUUAUAAAUUAUACUUUUAUUAAAUAAUGAUCAAUAUUUAGAUAUAUAUAGAAAGUGCAAGAUCAUUACUUAGAUUCUUAAUAUUUAGAAAAUACUUUUAUCUUUAAAUAAUGCAUACUCUGCUUCCACGUAACUUGAACUGAAGUUAGGCUGGCUGAAAAGAGGAUAAGCAUUCGAACAGAGUUGUUCUAGAUUUUGAGCUCACGGAUAGAGCAAGAAUGAUUGCAUCACUGCUGAGCUAUUUCAUUUUGGCUGCUUCUGCAGAAUGGACAUAUACAGAUUUAAAAUCUCUUCUACUGAAUGAUUGAAGGUCAUGGAGAUUUCAAUCAUAAAACACUUUGAUAAGACUCACCAUAACAUUUCUGGAAUGAAAUUGUCUGCAAAUUCCAUCCACAUAAUCUGUUUCUGCCUGUGACCACGUAGACCUCUCUGUGCAUCCACAUAAUAUUCUAUCACUAAAGUUGUGAACCACGCCAAACAAAAAUUGGCUCGUCUUGGGCUCCUAAAACAUCAGCAAGGCCUAGUUAUCCAGCAAUUUUAAAUACGAUUACGUUUGUAUCAUAAUGAUCAUUACCCAUUUCACAUGAUUUCAUAGAAUAGAUGGAGCUCUAUUAUAUAAUUUUUAUUCACUUUCUCCAUUAUAUAAUUAUUAUAUAAUUUUAAUUUUUAUUCACUUUACUUAUAUAUAUAUACUAAAAAAUUUAAUUUUUUAAUUAUAUUAUUUUAAAUAUAUUAAAUUUUAUUAAAUAUUAAAAAAUAUUUUUAAAAAAAUUCUUAAAAAUAAAAUAAAAUAAAAUAAUAAUUUAGAGACAAUAAUAAAAAAUAAAUAAAUAAAAAUUAUAGAAAGGCGGAAUAAUAAAUAAUUAAUCAAUAUGUAUCCUAUUAAUACAAUAUAAAUAGAAGAUGAGGAAACAAAAUAACCCAUCUCUCCCAGCUGGCUCUUCUUUUUUCUCUCUUCUUUUUAUCAUUCUUCCAUUGCCAUGCCUUCCCAAACCCAACAGCUUCACUUUGUGUUGUUUCCUCUUAUGGCCCAAGGCCAUAUGAUUCCCAUGAUAGACAUCGCAAGACUAUUAGCACAGCAUGGCGUGAUGAUCAGUAUAGUCACCACACCUCUCAAUGCUGCUAGAUUUAAAACAGUUCUUGCUCGUGCUGUAAAAUCUGGACUCAAAAUCCAGGUUUUUGAGCUCCAGUUUCCGUCCGAAAUUGCAGGCUUGCCAGAAGGGUGUGAGAAUUUUGACAUGCUGCCUUCACUGGAAAUGG